rnacentral:rRNA from 1 species
UGAAUACGAGACGCUAAGGCGUCGAAGUAGUGUAUGUCAUACUUCCAAGAAAAGCUUGCACUGUCAUAGAUAAAAAACGCCUGUACCAUAACCGACACAGGUGGGUAGGUAGAGUAUACUAAGGGGCGCGAGAUAACUCUCUCUAAGGAACUCGGCAAAAUAACUCCGUAACUUCGGGAGAAGGAGUGCCUUAUUCGUAAGGUUGCAAUAACAAGAUCCAAGCAACUGUUUAUCAAAAACACAGGUCUCCGCUAAGUCGUAAGACGAUGUAUGGGGGCUGACGCCUGCCCAGUGCCAGAAGGUUAAAGAAGUUGGUUAGCAAUUGCGAAGCUGAUAACUGAAGCCCUGGUGAACGGCGGCCGUAACAAUAACGGUCCUAAGGUAGCGAAAUUCCUUGUCGGGUAAGUUCCGACCCGCACGAAAGGCGUAAUGAUUUGGAUACUGUCUCGGAGAGGGGCACGGUGAAAUAGACUUGUCUGUGAAGAUGCGGACUACCUGCACCAGGACAGAAAGACCCUAUGAAGCUUUACUGUAACUUGAAAUUGAAAUUGGACUUUAUUCGCGCAGUAUAGGUGGGAGGCGUUGAUUAUAAUCUUGUGGGAUUAUUGGAGCCAUCAGUGAGAUACCACUCUUGUAAUGUUAGAUUUCUAACUUUGAAUCAUUAUCUGGUCAAAGAACAGUUUCAGGCGGGCAGUUUGACUGGGGCGGUCGCCUCCUAAACGGUAACGGAGGCGUACAAAGGUUUCCUCUGAACGGUUAGAAAUCGUAUCUAGAGUGUAAAGGCAUAAGGAAGCUUGACUGUGAGACCUACAAGUCGAGCAGGGACGAAAGUCGGUCUUAGUGAUCUGACGGUACUGAGUGGAAAGCCGUCACUCAACGGAUAAAAGUUACUCUAAGGAUAACAGGCUGAUCUCCCCCAAGAGUUCACAUCGACGGGGAGGUUUGGCACCUCGAUGUCGGCUCAUCGCAUCCUGGGGCGGUAGUACGUCCCAAGGGUUGGGCUGUUCGCCCAUGAAAGCGGUACGCGAGCUGGGUUCAGAACGUCGUGAGACAGUUCGGUCCAUAUCCGGUGUAGGCGUUAGAAUAUUGAGAGGAGCCUUCUUUAGUACGAGAGGACCGAGAAGGACAUACCUCUGGUGUACCAGUUAUCGUGCCAACGGUAAACGCUGGGUAGCUAUGUAUGGAGUGGAUAACCGCUGAAAGCAUCUAAGUGGGAAGCCCACCUCAAGAUAAG